rnacentral:sRNA from 2 species
ACAAACCUACCUAUCUGCUCAAUAUCUAAUUGAUUACUGGUGGAAUAGAGAAUGCUAGCUAGCUAGAUAUCCGAUUAAUCUCGACAAGAUUAAAUACCACCAUCUAACUGCCCAUCUACAUACCAACCUACCUAUCUACUUGCUCGAUAUUUGAUAAAUCUCUAUGAGAAUAAAUAUUGCUAGCUAUCUAGCUGCCUACCUACCUGCCUGCCUGCCUGCUCGAAUGGAUGAUAUCCGCCGAUGAUAUCUAGCAAUCAUAUUCAUUGAUGAUGUCUGUGAUCUUGCAAUAGAAAGACCAUGGCUUUUCUAGCAGUAUAUCGCUCCGCUCCGUCCUGGCCCCAGCGACAUGUCCCAUGGAGCUCCUGCUAUAUACAUAUAUCUAAUGACUAUUUAACUAUGGUGAAGUGUGACUAGAGUUACGGUAUAAGCGGUCUACCAGGUUGUUGGCAUCCCUAUCGCUCGCUAGAAGGCUCAAACAACGUGUAACUGGCCU